GGACGGGCUUCUGGAGAGACCUAUUAGGCGCCGAAGGGGCAAGGCAAAACUGCUCAAUCUCUCAGGCAAAAGGACAGAAGAUAAAAU
rfam:Streptococcus equi subsp. zooepidemicus H70, complete genome